CCUGGCGGCCAUAGCGCGGUGGCACCACCUGAACCCAUGCCGAACUCAGAAGUGAAACGCCCGUAGCGCCGAUGGUAGUGUGGGGUCUCCCCAUGCGAGAGUAGGACACUGCCAGGC
rnacentral:rRNA from 1 species